UUCUCCCGCGCUACUCGCUACUACCGCUCUCGAACCCCUUCCUGCCACACCCCCGCGCCGCCGAAUCUCCCUGACCUGCCACCAUCGCCGUGUCCUCCUCCCCACCCACUGCCGCUGCAUCGCCUCCUCCUCAUUGCCUACGCGUCGUCCUCCUUCGCACUCACCGCUGCUGCAUCGCCUCCUCCACACGGCCUCCGCGUUGUCCUCCUCCUCACCCACCGCCGCCGCGUUCUCCUCCUCCCCAUCACCCGCCAUUGCCUCGCUGAUCUCCUCUCUCAGCGCCACCAUCAAUCCCGCGGCGGUCACCGUCCCCGAGUCCCCUUUGCCGGCUCAACCGUCGUCGUCAGAUCCACCGACGGGGUGAACUCGGCAACGGUGGUCCAGUGCUCGAUCCCUAACGCAUGUCGCGCCGUCUUGUCCACCACCGCUGCGACCUCCUCCUCCCCAACACCCCCGUGUUGCUGUGCCUCCCUGACCUGCCACCGCUACCGCCGCCGCGUCCGCCUCCCCAUCACCCACAGCGUCGUCCUUCGCCUCGCCGAUAUCCUCUCUCCGCACUGCCAUCAAUCCCGUGAUGGCCACCGUCGCUGCCGUGCAGCCGUCGUCGUCAGAUCCUCCUCCACCGCCCCAACGCCGGUUGUGUCGUCCUGCCCGCAACACCUGCGCACCCUCCGCCGCUUGAUAUUCCUGCGAGCAUUACAGUUUGCAACUGAGCUAUGGCAGAAAUUGUGA
rnacentral:lncRNA from 1 species